UNGAAGGUUCAGUGUUUAAAGCUUGGUA
rnacentral:piRNA from 1 species